AAGUCUGGUGUCAGCCGCCGCGGUAAUACCAGCACCCCGAGUGGUCGGGACGUUUAUUGGGCCUAAAGCAUCCGUAGCCGGUUCUACAAGUCUUCCGUUAAAUCCACCUGCUUAACAGAUGGGCUGCGGAAGAUACUAUAGAGCUAGGAGGCGGGAGAGGCAAGCGGUACUCGAUGGGUAGGGGUAAAAUCCGUUGAUCCAUUGAAGACCACCAGUGGCGAAGGCGGCUUGCCAGAACGCGCUCGACGGUGAGGGAUGAAAGCUGGGGGAGCAAACCGGAUUAGAUACCCGGGUAGUCCCAGCUGUAAACGAUGCAGACUCGGUGAUGAGUUGGCUUAUUGCUAACUCAGUGCCGCAGGGAAGCCGUUAAGUUUGCCGCCUGGGGAGUACGGUCGCAAGACUGAAACUUAAAG
rnacentral:rRNA from 2 species